UACAGAUCUGACCACUCUUCUCUCUUUUUAUUAUCUUCUUCUCCAAAAAAAAUUUAUCCUUUGCUCUCUCCUCUCUCUCUCUGCUUAGCCCAAAAGUUCAAAGAUGGCGGGGAAAGGUGGUAAAGGAUUGCUAGCAGGAAAGACAACAGCUGCUGCUGCUGCAGCAGCCAACAAGGAGAAAGACAAGAAAAGGCCAGUUUCUAGGUCAUCUCGAGCAGGUCUUCAGUUUCCAGUGGGUAGAAUUCACCGUCAACUCAAGUCCAGAACCGCAGCCCAUGGACGAGUUGGAGCCACAGCAGCUGUUUACUCUGCUGCUAUUCUGGAAUACCUGACAGCAGAGGUUCUUGAAUUGGCUGGCAAUGCAAGCAAGGAUCUGAAGGUG
rnacentral:misc_RNA from 1 species